AGAAGGACGAUGGUUCUGUGCCAUGUCCAAUAUGAGUUUUUUAAAAACCCUGUUAGCUUGGAUACUUUCUUCAUCACCUCGCGGUCGCGCUCUUCUUUUUCUUUCGUUCCUGCGCUCCGCUGUCAUUCAUUCUGCUGUCCGCCAUCUUUAGAAAUCCCUCCCUGAUGCUCCGCCCCACAGCGUAAGAAGCGUCCAAUCUGGGCCAAUAAUAAUCAAGCAUUCAUGAUGGACGUUUGCCAGAACAAAUCAGACAUUUUUUCCAACAACACCGCCAAAAUCCUCUUAGCCAGUGAUAAAAUUAAGACAUUCUGACCUUAUUCAUUCACAAAAAUACAAAGCAUCUUUGGGGCCCCCGAAGCGCCGGGGCCCCGGGGUAAGCCCUUGCUAAAAUCCGGGCUUGCGGAUGCUUGAAAGCCUUUAUGUGGUCAAACAUACAGAGGAAAUAACUGUGGAAAAAAACAGUUCUGAUGAUUUUUAGCUAACAGUUAAGGAAUCAGUUAAAGUUAAAAUACUACACCAGACCAAUUAAAAAAACAAAACCAUUUUUAAAAACAGAAACGUUGGGCUUAUUGGAAAAGCAUGUUUAAAACCUGCAUAACGGUUUUGAUUUUCAAAAGGUGCUUUAAAUCUGAAAAACCAAACUCAUCGGGACAGAUUUCAUUGCUCAAUAUGACAUAAUAAUACAAAUGUGUUGUCUCGUUAUAAAUACUAUUACUGGUAAUAUUGCCAUAUCAAUCAACACACAUAAUCCAAAGUGUACAACAAAGGCUUGAUUCUAUUUAACCACGUAGCGUUAAAAAAAAAAAAAACCCCAUUAAAAUCGCAGGAAUGUCUAAGUCAUUAGAUGCUAAAGAUAAAAAAAAAAAAUGUGUGUUUGCCUCAAACAUUUGCACACCUCUCUUUGCACACACGAGUAAAUCCUUGUUACGGAAAAGGAGUUAUCUCAUGCAUGCACUGCUCUGCACCUUUAUCACGGAUGUCAAAACCUAAGCCUGUCUUAAGCACUUGGAUUUUCACAAAUGGCAUAAAUCUUCCCGCAUUAAUCGGGUCAGCCACAUCAGUUAUAACCUGAGCAGUACAGCAUAAGCUGCAGUAAAUACACCUUCUGAGUGUGUGUGUGUGUGUGUGGGCGUGCGUGCGUGUGUGUGUGUGUGUGUGGGUGUGUGUGUGUGUGCGCGUGUGGGGGGGUGUGUGUGUGUGUGUGUGUGGUAGUCUGCACUGCUUAUGUGGAGCUCGUAAAGAGUCGGAGGAGUGUUGCAACAGGUUUGGCCGAGGCUCCCCUAAACAAACAGUCCACACCUGUCUUCCGCUCCUUUCUCAGUAUAAACAGAGUUUUUUUUUCUUCCUUUCUCACAGAUACACAAGGCUUCUUGUUAAACUGCCCCGACAACAGGAGCUGACUUGAAACGCGACGCGGCGCUUUCAGCAUUGUGAAUGGAAGGUGCUGUUGCAUCACCUCCAUGCCACUGACGGAGAGAGAGACGGAUCGGUUGAGUCAACCUUGGCUGUUUGAUGGAUGCAUACGUUUGCUCUCUGUGUAGGCCUCUGUGUCUGAGAAGACUUAUGAUGAAAUGUUUGCUUCUUUCCUGCGUCUUACUUACCUUGUAGGAGGUUUCUGGAAAUAUGCACGUACUGCGGAGUGAUGAUUGGUUACCGAGUACAUUUGUUCAGGUUUUCGGCAUGAGAACCGAACUUUUAUUCUGUGAACUCUAAAUCUUUAGAUUUAAAAAAUAUAGACGUUAAUUGUCCUCUAUGAAAACUUAAUUGGUACUUAUGAUGUGAGCUGUCAGUGAGUCAACUGAGAGCUAAAAUCAGGUCAAUAGAGAUUAAAUAAUGUGUAUGGGAAUAAAUUCCUAAUGAACUAAACUGCGAAUACACAAUUUUCUUGCCACAGAUAUAUCUAGUAAUUGGUUUUACUUUGGUUGAAAUGAGGAGAAAUUAAGAUAAUUGUGUGAAGUUUACCUGACCCAUGUCAUACAGAUUAAAAUACAGUUAUUCCUGGUUCUCACCAAGUGAAUGUAAACUUUUGAAAUAAAGGAGUUAUAAAAAAAGAAACAUCU